UCCACCUUCCGAUGGCGGUUUCGCCGGAAAUUGCAACCGGCAAUAGGGGUUGCGCUCGUUGAGGGACUGAACCCAACACCUCACGGCACGAGCUGACGACAGCCAUGCAGCACCUGUGACGCUGCCCCGAAGGGAACACGAUUUCUCGUGCGUUCAACGCCAUGUCAAAUCCUGGUAAGGUUCUUCGCGUUGCAUCGAAUUAAACCACACGCUCCGCUGCUUGUGCGGGUCCCCGUCAAUUCCUUUGAGUUUUAACCUUGCGGUCGUACUCCCCAGGCGGACCACUUAUCGUGUUGACUGCGCCACGGAAGGGGUCGAUCCCCCCACGGCUAGUGGUCAUCGUUUACGGCCAGGACUAC
rnacentral:misc_RNA from 1 species